CCUACGGGGGACUGCAGUGGGGAAUAUUGGACAAUGGGGGGAACCCUGAUCCAGCCAUGCCGCGUGUGUGAAGAAGGCCCUCGGGUUGUAAAGCACUUUCAGUGAGGAAGAACGCCUGGUGGUUAAUACCCAUCAGGAAAGACAUCACUCACAGAAGAAGCACCGGCUAACUCCGUGCCAGCAGCCGCGGUAAUACGGAGGGUGCGAGCGUUAAUCGGAAUUACUGGGCGUAAAGCGCGCGUAGGUGGCUUGAUAAGCCGGUUGUGAAAGCCCCGGGCUCAACCUGGGAACGGCAUCCGGAACUGUCAAGCUAGAGUGCAGGAGAGGAAGGUAGAAUUCCCGGUGUAGCGGUGAAAUGCGUAGAGAUCGGGAGGAAUACCAGUGGCGAAGGCGGCCUUCUGGACUGACACUGACACUGAGGUGCGAAAGCGUGGGUAGCAAACAGGAUUAGAUACCCUUGUAGUC
rnacentral:rRNA from 1 species